UGAAAGUUGCCCCCUCUGACCUUAAUCACUUGGGUCUUGAUUUGGUUGUCUCUUUCGCCUGUGAUUGAAGGUAAAACUGUCCACUUCUGCUGUCCAAGGAAAAGGAGCUCGCACAUUCUGGUAUGGAAAUAGCAGAGAUUCUCAAAUUUUGAGCUCAAGUAACAUCUCCCAGGCAUCUCCAUCCUGGCUACCUGGCUACCAUGCAGCGGCCUUGAAGCCUGUGCAAAGGAAACACAGGCUAUUUGAAUUAACUAUCCUCCACUCUGGAUGAACAAAGGCAGCAUUCAUGAUCCUUCAUUUCAUGGAAGAAAAUACAUCACCUUUUUGAUCAGAAAGACUGGACACUGUUCUGAAGAAAACAUUUUCUAGGACCUUUGCCACUGUUUUCCUGGUGACAACAGUCUGAGCCUCUUUCCUCAGGUGAUGCAAAGAUGAUUUGUGAUGAUGAAUCCCUCCGUGAAGGCAUUAAGACUUUCUGCAUCUGCAGGAAUGAGGAAUGUUAGUUUAUGUGUAUGGCUGGAAAUUACAGUAUUACAAAUUGUCUAGGAGUUCAUAUUUAUUAAACAAGACAAUAACAAACCAAAUAUGCAAUUUUGUGACAAUGCUGUCACACUGCAAAUCACAGUGGAGCUUCUUAACAGCAAAAAACACAGCAAUUGCUGUAUCCCUUCUUAAGCCAGCAAUCCUAAAAUGCACAAGGUCUGGACAUGUCACUCAGAAGUUCUCAUGCAGCUGCACAAAUGAGGAGAAAUACAGAAGACUAAUGAGAAAACAAAUCUGCUCUACACUGCCAUAUACUACAGAAACCGAGAGGUUGUUCAAGACUUAUCACUCUAGGGAAAAUAAUAAGCAAACCUUACAAGAAGUACUAUUGGGGUAACAAUUAAGAUGUAUUUCUGUUCUUUUUCCUAAACAGAAAUGUUGGUUUGGUGCACACAUUCUUUUUUUUCCCUUUGAAUCAUAAUCUUUAAUCACAUUAAC